GGAGGGAGCUAGCGUUGUUCGGAAUUACUGGGCGUAAAGCGCACGUAGGCGGCUUUGUAAGUUAGAGGUGAAAGCCCGGAGCUCAACUCCGGAACUGCCUUUAAAACUGCAUCGCUUGAAUCCAGGAGGGGUGAGUGGAAUUCCGAGCGUAGAGGUGAAAUUCGUAGAUAUUCGGAAGAACACCAGUGGCGAAGGCGGCUCACUGGACUGGUAUUGACGCUGAUGUGCGAAAGCGUGGGGAGCAAACAGGAUUAGAUACCCUGGUAGUCCACGCCGUAAACGAUGAUAACUAGCUGUCAGGGCCCUUAGGGUUUUGGUGGCGCAGCUAACGCAUUAAGUUAUCCGCCUGGGGAGUACGGUCGCAAGAUUA
rnacentral:rRNA from 1 species